CAGCCGCCGCGGUAAUACGAAGGGUGCAAGCGUUAAUCGGAAUUACUGGGCGUAAAGCGCGCGUAGGUGGUUUGGUAAGAUGGAUGUGAAAUCCCCGGGCUCAACCUGGGAACUGCAUCCAUAACUGCCUGACUAGAGUACGGUAGAGGGUGGUGGAAUUUCCUGUGUAGCGGUGAAAUGCGUAGAUAUAGGAAGGAACACCAGUGGCGAAGGCGACCACCUGGACUGAUACUGACACUGAGGUGCGAAAGCGUGGGGAGCAAACAGGAUUAGAUACCCCUGUAGUCCCUGUCUCUUAUAC
rnacentral:rRNA from 1 species